rnacentral:sRNA from 1 species
GCUGGGCGUGGUGGUGCACACCUGUAAUCCCAGCAGCUCGGGAGGCUGUGACACGAGUAUCAUGAGUUCAAAGCCAGUGUCAGCAACUUAAUGAGACCCUAAGCAACUCAGUGAGAUCCUGUCUCUA